rnacentral:lncRNA from 1 species
UUAAAAUUUUCACCGCUCUAACUUCCCGCCCCAAGUUCCCUUUCCUCCCUCAAAUUUGAAAUUUUCAACCCUACCCCUACAUUCCUUACUCUGUUGUUUAUCGUUUCUGAUCCUCCUCAAAUGAUAGAUUUAUCAUCCCGCUUUUGUUCUCUACCACAUUUAACGACGGCAUCAUCUCAGCGGCAGUGGCUCAGCGAUGACAUUUUGGUCUUGAGAGGGAUCCACCUGAAGUAGUAGUGGAUAUUAGGUCUGAUGAGAAGUUUGUGAUAGAUUUGAAUUAAAGGGUUAUCAGGGAUGUGGAAUCGGUUAUGAAACCAUGGGGUGGUUCACAGGGAAAAUUAAUUGGUUUAUUGGCUCAUGGUGUAGAAAAAAAACGUCCGAGGCGUCUGUAUUGAGGUGCGUGUCUCGAGGCGAGACGGGAAGAAAUCGUUUUUGAGGCGGCGCAUCGCUGGUUAAUUAUGUUGUAAAUCACAUGAAAACCCCCUGGAUCAUUUUGUCUUUUUAAAUGUUUCUAGUUACAUUGUCCUAAAUAAUCCCAUUUUCUCUGUAGUCGCAUACCCCAAUAGUAUUGACAAAAGAGAUCACUCUUGCAGUGUCAUUCUUGAUUCAUUUGAGCUUUGGUAAUUAGUUUCACUGGUAUAAUCAUUGUUUUUGUUCAUCACCUGUUCAUGAGAUGGAUUCCAAGAUUUUGAAGAACUAGAGGUAUGCAAGGAAGCACAUGAAAUAGAGUGGGAAAAUUUCUAUAGAAAAAUAUAUGUUUUGAGACUUUGACAGCUCUAGCAACUUCCUUUCAUGUGCUACAACCUUUGACAUAUUCUAUAUCUCGCUUUGUAUGGGUUAAGUUACUAAGUGACAUAAAUUUCCCGCCGAAACAAUGAGUAGAAAUGGUCUGAAGAGGUGACCAUAGUUCCAACAUUUGAUGGUAGAAAUGUUUAACGGAGCCUUUCUUGAGGAACGUUGAACUUGUAUCUUUACCAGAAUUAUACCAUCUGACAGACAUCAACAAAGCUUGGAGGCUCUGAUGUGGGAGCUAUCAAACAACUAUCACUUGAAGAUCAAGACGAGUAGAAUAUUCUCUUUAUUAUUAGGAUGUUAUAUGUUGAUGUUAUACUAUAACUAUUAGGAUGUUAUAUGUUGAUGGUCUAUUUAUAAAAUUGGUUUUA